AGUACAAUUAGAUUGCCCAGGGACAUGGCAAAAUUCAAUGAGAGUCAGUCUGAACUUCAUCAUCUAUUUCAAGUUUGUCUAGCCAUCAGCUCCACAGCAAUGAAACUGAGGGAUACACGUCAAAUAGAGUCGAUUGCAGCUGUCAAAACCUCAGCUACCUGUGGCCUCGAAACAGCGGAGUAUCUGCUUCCUACUACACUCAAGCUCCAGCUUUCCCUCAAAAACUGCUUUGCAGAUCAAACUCUAACAGAUGAGUAAUUUUACCACUUCACUCCGAUACUAGCUGAUUUAUUAAAUAAAGACCAACAUUUAACUAAGGACUUAAAAGUGAAAAUACAUGUUGAGGUCCAGAUGAGUAAAUGAGUUUGGAAAAGAUGACCAAAAAUAAUGUAUAUUGCCUCUAAAAUCUGAAACAGCAAGGGUUUCUCUGUGCCACAACAGUCAGGGUUGUCCUUGUUUAGAGUUCACACUAAUGAUGGCUGCCCACCUGGUCUUCUUUCUGAGAGCAGGAAGUACAAGUUAUGACUCUCAAGAAGCAUGAGUAGCCAUGUGCCACCAGUUUCGUCAAGAGCUUCUGCAAUGAAAGGGAAGGAUGAUGAGAUGGGAAAUUACAGCAUCUAGCUCACUGGAUCAGGAGGCUUAAAUGAAACGAUACAUGGAAACCUAGUCUCCCCCAGAGUUAUUUGCUGCAUAUACUUCUAUGUUAAGACAGUCUGUACAAAAUUGUGAAUGCCCACAAUGCAAAAACAGGAGAUCCAUAGAAAUCUCCCAUCCAACAAUAAUUAAUAGACAUUUAAAAUUGAGAAAAAAAUCAGAUUCCAAUUGAUGAUAAAGAAACACAAGGAUUCAGAUGUUAUAGUCCUGGGGAAAUGAUCCAACCUUUGAAAUACAUAAGACUGUUGUUUGGCACAAGAAAAUUACUUAUACUUUAGACAUGGUGGAUUCGAAGUAAGAGACAGUGGAAUUAUCCAGUGGCAAAAUGGAAAUAAAUUCAGUCGAUGGAGGAAUAUUAAAUGCUGAUUUUAGUAAUAUUGUGACACUUAUGCAAA